rnacentral:rRNA from 1 species
GACGAACGCUGGCGGCAUGCCUAAUACAUGCAAGUCGAACGAACCAUCCUGAUGAUUGAAGCUUGCUUCAUGAUUCAGACCUUGGUGAGUGGCGGACGGGUGAGUAACACGUGGGUAACCUGCCCAGAAGUGGGGGAUAACAUUUGGAAACAAGUGCUAAUACCGCAUAACAACUUAGAUCACAUGAUCUUUGUUUAAAAGAUGGUUUUGCUAUCUCUUCUGGAUGGACCCGCGGCGUAUUAGCUAGUUGGUGAGGUAAUAGCUCACCAAGGCGAUGAUACGUAGCCGACCUGAGAGGGUAAUCGGCCACAUUGGGACUGAGACACGGCCCAAACUCCUACGGGAGGCAGCAGUAGGGAAUCUUCCACAAUGGACGAAAGUCUGAUGGAGCAAUGCCGCGUGAGUGAAGAAGGUUUUCGGAUCGUAAAACUCUGUUGUUGAAGAAGAACAUGCGUGAGAGUAACUGUUCACGUACUGACGGUAUUCAACCAGAAAGCCACGGCUAACUACGUGCCAGCAGCCGCGGUAAU